rnacentral:rRNA from 1 species
UACGAAGGGGGCUAGCGUUGUUCGGAUUUACUGGGCGUAAAGCGCACGUAGGCGGAUCGUUAAGUCGGGGGUGAAAUCCUGGAGCUCAACUCCAGAACUGCCUUCGAUACUGGCGAUCUCGAGUCCGGAAGAGGUGAGUGGAACUCCUAGUGUAGAGGUGGAAUUCGUAGAUAUUAGGAAGAACACCAGUGGCGAAAGGCGGCUCACUGGUCCGGUACUGACGCUGAGGUGCGAAAGCGUGGGGAGCAAACAGGG